rnacentral:snRNA from 1 species
GUACUCGAUUCAGCGGCACAUAUAAUAAAAUUGGAACGAUACAGAGAUUAGCAUGGCACCCGCGCAAGGUUGACACGCAAAAUCGUGAAGCCUUCCAUAUUUUU